AGUGGUGGCUUUCCAGAAAAGAUAUUUAAGAUGCACAAUACGAAUGGACUUGGUUGUGUUACAUUAAUACACAUAUCAAAGGAUUGGCACAAAGAAAACUGGCAAGAACCUGAGGCUGAUUAAGUUGGAUGUAAGAAUUUUCGGAUUUUAUCUGGGAACACAAUUAAGAAAACUCUGAACAAAGUUGUUCAAGUAAAAAUUUUGGAGAAAGUCUAUUUCUACUCACAUCUAAACGCAUCUAAUCAUUCAAUUAAAGAUUUUCAAUAAGUCUA